GCGGAUUAGAAAGUCUGGUGUUAAAAGCAAUUGCUUAACGAUUGUAUGCAUUGGAAACUUCUAGUCUAGAGUUUGGUAGAGAGUCCUGGAACUCCAUGUGGAGCGGUGAAAUGCGUAGAUAUAUGGAAGAACACCAGAGGCGAAGGCGAGGACUUGGGCCAAUACUGACGCUUAGGCUUGAAAGUGUGGGGAGCAAAUAGGAUUAGAUACCCUAGUAGUCCACACUGUAAACGAUGGAUGUUAAGUGUCGGAGCGAAUACUUCGGUGCUGCAGUUAACACAUUAAACAUCCUGCCUGAGUAGUACAUUCGCAAGAAUGAAACUCAAACGGAAUUGACGGGGACCCGCACAAGUGGUGGAGCAUGUUGCUUAAUUCGACGGUACACGAAAAACCUUACCUAGACUUGACAUCUUGGGCGAAGCUAUAGAAAUAUAGUGGAGGUCAACCCAAUGACAGGUGGUGCAUGGUUGUCGUCAGCUCGUGUCGUGAGAUGUUGGGUUAAGUCCCGCAACGAGCGCAACCCUUAUCGUUAGUUACUUUGUCUAACGAGACUGCCAACGUAAGUUGGAGGAAGGUGGGGAUGACGUCAAAUCAUCAUGCCCCUUAUGUCUAGGGCUGCAAACGUGCUACAAUGGCCAAUACAAACAGUUGCAAAUCCGUAAGGUGGAGCUAAUCUGUAAAGUUGGUCUCAGUUCGGAUUGAGGGCUGCAAUUCGCCCUCAUGAAGUCGGAAUCACUAGUAAUCGCGAAUCAGCCAUGUCGCGGUGAAUACGUUCUCGGGUCUUGUACACACCGCCCGUCAAACUAUGAGAGCUGGUAAUAUCUAAAACCGUGUUGCUAACCGCAAGGAA
rnacentral:rRNA from 1 species